rnacentral:rRNA from 1 species
AUGCAAGUCGAGCGGGGGAAGGUAGCUUGCUACUGGACCUAGCGGCGGACGGGUGAGUAAUGCUUAGGAAUCUGCCUAUUAGUGGGGGACAACAUCUCGAAAGGGAUGCUAAUACCGCAUACGUCCUACGGGAGAAAGCAGGGGAUCUUCGGACCUUGCGCUAAUAGAUGAGCCUAAGUCGGAUUAGCUAGUUGGUGGGGUAAAGGCCUACCAAGGCGACGAUCUGUAGCGGGUCUGAGAGGAUGAUCCGCCACACUGGGACUGAGACACGGCCCAGACUCCUACGGGAGGCAGCAGUGGGGAAUAUUGGACAAUGGGGGGAACCCUGAUCCAGCCAUGCCGCGUGUGUGAAGAAGGCCUUAUGGUUGUAAAGCACUUUAAGCGAGGAGGAGGCUACUUUAGUUAAUACCUAGAGAUAGUGGACGUUACUCGCAGAAUAAGCACCGGCUAACUCUGUGCCAGCAGCCGCGGUAAUACAGAGGGUGCGAGCGUUAAUC